rnacentral:rRNA from 1 species
AGCGGCGGACGGGUGAGUAAUGCUUGGGAAUCUGCCCAAUAGUGGGGGAUAACGUGUGGAAACGCACGCUAAUACCGCAUACGUCCUACGGGAGAAAGCAGGGGAUCUUCGGACCUUGCGCUAUUGGAUGAGCCCAAGUCAGAUUAGCUAGUUGGUGGGGUAAUGGCUCACCAAGGCAACGAUCUGUAGCUGGUCUGAGAGGAUGAUCAGCCACACUGGGACUGAGACACGGCCCAGACUCCUACGGGAGGCAGCAGUGGGGAAUAUUGCACAAUGGGCGAAAGCCUGAUGCAGCCAUGCCGCGUGUGUGAAGAAGGCUCUAGGGUUGUAAAGCACUUUCAGUGGGGAGGAAAAGUUCAAAAUUAAUACUUUUGAACCUUGACGUUACCUGCAGAAGAAGCACCGGCAAACUCCGUGCCAGCAGCCGCGGUAAUACGGAGGGUGCGAGCGUUAAUCGGAAUUACUGGGCGUAAAGCGCGCGUAGGUGGUUUGAUAAGCUAGCUGUGAAAGCCCUGGGCUCAACCUGGGAACUGCAGUUAGAACUGUCUGGCUAGAGUAUAGUAGAGGGUGGCGGAAUUUCCUGUGUAGCGGUGAAAUGCGUAGAUAUAGGAAGGAACAUCAGUGGCGAAGGCGGCCACCUGGACUAUACUGACACUGAGGUGCGAAGCGUUGAGAAGCAAACCAGUUUAGAUACCUUGGUUGUUCAACGG